GCCUGGGCAAUGGCGGGCGCCCCUCCCCCAGCCUCGCUGCUGCCUUGCAGUUUGAUCUCAGACUGCUGUGCUAGCAAUCAGCAAGACUCCGUGGGGUAGGACCCUCCGAGCCAGGUGCGCGAUAUAAUCUCGUGGUGCGCCGUUUUUUUAAGCCCGUCGGAAAAGCGCAGUAUUCGGGUGGGAGUGACGUGAUUUUCCAGGUGCUGUCCAUCACCCCUUUCUUUGACUGGGAAAGGGAACUCCCUGACCCCGUGUGGUUCCCAAGUGAGGCAAUGCCUCGCCCUGCUUCGGCUCGCACAGGGUGCGCGCACCCACUGACCUGCGCCCACUGUCUGGCACUCCCUAGUGAGAUGAACCCGGUACUUCAGAUGGAAAUGCAGAAAUCACCCGUCGUCUGCGUCGCUCACGCUGGGAGCUGUAGACCGGAGCUGUUCCUAUUCGGCCAUCUUGGCUCCUCGAUCCUGAAUUUUUGGGGCAAAGUCAACCAGAGUGGUCCUGCCGAAGAGGAUUGUAUUCUUGUAUCUUCAGGAGUUUAUUGGCAUCAAAAUGAGGCUAGUAGGGUUUCUGGUGCAUGGCCACUUGCUGGGACAUCCUGCAGAAGUAAGACUCACAUCAAAGAAGAUGGUACUGUGGUUCUCAAUGGAUGUUGCCUCCACAGCUCAAAGAAGCCAGGUAACAUAAUGGAGGGUGUGGGUGAGUUAACACCCCAGUGACAACUUUCAUCAGUGAAAGACCAGCAAUAGAAAGGUGAGUUAAAUAUAUGCUCCCUCUGUCUUGCCUAACAAAGAAUUAUGAGAAUCAGCAGCUUUUCCAUACCACCUUACUGUAGACAUCAGUGUAAUGGAGCAGCCAACUGUGCUUUCUGUGGAAGCUGUGUCAGCUUCUUGAUGUUUCAUUUUUUGUUUUUCUUCAUUUCCCUUUUCUUCCAUCUUUGUUUCUCUGAGGUUACAAAUUCUCCAUAAAAGUAUUUGAUUUUUGCCUCAGGAUUUGGGGAAACUGGGCUAAGAUACAAUUACUGCAUAUAAUAUGUGGAGAAAAAAAGUUAUAUCCAAAAAAUGUAUUUUAAAUUUCCAUAUUCAUAUUUUGCAGUUUCAACAUCUUCACAUCUCUAAACAGUAACUCUGGAAGAUACAGUUUUCCUAACUACAAACUAAUUUUGUGAAGUGUCACUCUUCAAAAACAUGCAAGAAAACUUAAACAUAAUUUCAAUAGUGAUAUGGCUUGGCUGUGUACCCACCCAAAUCUCAUCUUGAAUUGUACUUUCCACAAUUCCCACGUUAUCGGAGAAACCUGGUAGGACGUAAUUGAAUCAUGAGGCAGGUCUUUUCUGUGCUGUUCUUGUGAUAGUGAAUAAGUCUCACAAGAUCUGAUGGUUUUAGAAACAAGAGUUUCUCUGCACAAGCUCUCUCUCUUUGCCUGCGACUAUCCACAUAAGAUGUGACUUGCUCCUCCUUGCCUUCCACCACGAUUGUGAGGCUUACCCAGCCGCGUGGAACUGUGAGUUCUCCAUUAGACCUCUUUCUUUUGUAAAUUAUCCAGUCUUGGGUAAGUUGUUAUCAGCAGCAUGAAAAUGGACUAAUACAAAUAGCAUUAGUGUUUUCCCCAUACUUUAGAUAUUUAUUUAAAUAUUCUGGAAGUAAAUGUUGGAGGUAGCUAUUGGAAUUAAGUUAAGCCUUGAGAUAUUGAUACUAACAUGGGAAAGUCAUGGUAGAUUUUAGAAACCACGUUCAAUUCCAUGCUCACAAGGGGGUACCAGGGUGCCUCUCCAGUGUAAGUUCUAUGGAAUGCAGAAAUGCAGAGGAAAUAUCUGUUACUGGAACUAAGUGUUAUUUAGAGAUGAGAGUUCCAGGUAGCUAAAGUUAGUAGAUGGUAGAAGAUAUAAAAUAGCAAGGUCCCAAAAGAAAGAACAAACUAACCAACCAAAAAAAAAAAAAAAAAAAAAAAAAGAAAAGAAAAGAAAAGAAAAGAAAAAAAACCCUACUUUAAUGUCAUGAGAUUUAAGACCCUUAAGAUGUAUGGGGAUAAUCGUUUGAGCAAGAAAGUAGAAUAUGGUAUGAGCAAAUAUAGGAAACUGGAUUUGCUGCUUUUAUGUGCAAGAUUAGAUUCGAUCCUUCAGAGAUGAAUUAUAUCCAUAACCAAGAAACAUUCUUCUUUACUUUUAUGGGUAAGCUAUUAAUUAUCAGAUAUUCUCCAGUGGGUAAUAUAUCUAUAACUUUGUGAUGCUAGAUUAUUUCUAUGCCUACAAUUGAGUUUAUUUGAAAUCACAAACUUGUUUUCAACACUACCCUCUCUCUCCCUUAAUUCUCCCCUGUCCCCAUGCCUUCAAUUCCUACAUUUUAAGUAUUGCCAUUCUUUUGUUGUUUUGCUUCAUAAGGUUUAGAAGGGUGGUGGUAUAGAGCUUCAAACAGCAUACAAUUGAUCAUAGGAUUCAAUCUAAUGUUAUAAAUUUGUUACUGACAAAGCCGAUUCAGCAAAAUAGGGUAUUUUCCUUUUCCAUGACAUGAAGCCAAAAUGCAAAAUCAAAAUUGAGCAUCAAGUAGUACAGGCUUUAUUUGAUGGCCAUGGAACUGAGAAGCAGUAACAUGGCUGACAAACCAAGGGGUGAGAGGUUUAAAAUAUAGGGUUUCUCUAAUGAAGGGGUUGGACCUUAGAAGUGAGGCGAGGAAUAUUUACAUGUUUCCUGGGACAGGCAGUGAACUUUCCAAAGCCAGUAGUGCCACCUUUCUUUUUGUCUUUUUAUGACUACUUCUGGUCAUUAUCAUAGUGAUUGUCAAGGCAGCACUGGCAAGAGUGUCAUUUAGCAUGGAAAUGAGAUUAUAAUGAAGCCGGAAGUCUUUUUGCAGUCCUUUCUUUGGCUGUCUUCGUUCUAACCAAUCUCAGCUGGUCUGAUUUUACAAAGGGAACAUUUUAUAGGAGGCAUCCUGUUUUUAAAGAAAAGCAGAGUUAGGGUGGGCUAGAAAUUCAGCUAUGUUACAUAGGCAAUACACCAGGUAACAAAUGAAUAAUGAUGUUAUUUGAGAAUUAAUUUCUGGAUGUAUGAUUUCAGUUAAUUUUGCUGAUGAGUUGUUGGGGGCUACAAAAAUCUCCCAAUAUUUUUGGCCUAUGUAUCCGCCAUAAUCAAGCUGAUACAAAGAGUGGGUUAUUAUCUUGGAAUUAGGAGUCAGCCUGUUGUCACCGUGGAACUCUUCUUGUCAUACAAAGUUGACAGCUACCAUAGCCACAUGUGCUUAGAUCUGUUCCAUAUACAGGCAGACUGUCAGAAUGAGAUGCUCAAAUUUGUUUUAUUAGAUGUAAAAAUUACUGAGCAUUUGGGGUUUAAUAUUUAAAAUAUAACAUGAGUCUUCUGGGUCUUUUGUUACUAUGGGCUUAGAAUAAUGACUUCCUCUUUUUCAAAAACAGUAUUUUCGUAGCUUAUUGAAAAACAACUUACAAAGUCUAUAUUAGAACCUCAAGAUUCUCUCAAAUGUAGUUUGAUGAAUAAAAUACAAUUGACAAUUAGUCACAUAUGGAAGAAAUUUUCCUCCUAAUACAUAAAAGAUCAUCAUUUCAGAGUAAAUAAAAAGUAAAGCAAACUAUGUCAACUCCAUUAUUUUUAGAAUUCAUGUCAAGAUUCAGAUUAUACCCACAACACUUUUGAUUUCUGUCUUUAAAACUUAACACAAUGGAGAAAUUGCUUCAUAUGAUGGGUCAUUGAAAUGAGAACUCUGCAAGCAGUUGAGACUUAGUGGGUUUUUUACAAAGUACUCCACAAAGUUCAAUGCCUUUCUUUUCAUGUAUCAUUCAACUGAGCUGAAUGUCACAUGGAAAAUUGUUCUGGGCUUGAAAAAAAAUAUCCUGAGACCCAAGGGAGACUUUCAUAUUUGGAAAAUAUACAGAUAAGUGAGAAAGCAUGAUGAUAUGGAAGCUGUAAUGACUAUAAAAUAAAGAAAAAUAAAAUUAAAUCACAGUUCUCUCUCUACAUUUCUUUUUUCUGUAUUCUUUAUACCACAUCGCUAUUUUGGGUGACAUUAGAAUCAAGGAUGCAAUAUUUAUAGAAGGAUGUUACUCUAGUGAUAACAUAUUACAAAAAACUUUGGCAACAAUCUAAGACACAGCAGGGGAGCUGCAAGAUAACUAUUUUUGUAAUGUUUAAAAUUAUACUAAAUUAAAAAAAUUGUGCUUCAAGCUUUAAAUAGCAUGGUGUAGUCUAACUGAUCAGAGCAUCAGAUUCUGAUAAUUUAUUAAAUGGAAUGCAGAACAUGUUGACAAAUAAUAUUUAUAUAUAAAAAGCAAUUUUAGGCCAUUUUAAUGUAAUUCAACAUCAAAGUCAUUUUUCAAUGGAUUCUAGUCUAAAAAUAAAGGGCUAUAAAAUGAAACUCUAUAUUAAUAACAAUAAUUUGAAGUAUUAGACUUCUGGAAAACAACAGCUAAAUUAAAUACGUGUGUGUGUGCACGCACACACAUGCACACACAGACACACACACAUACAAUCUCUAGUGCAACAUUCAUUCAAUCCUCUGAGACAUUCCUAUAAAUCAGACUUGGAUUAUACUGCUGUUAUGUCACCUUUUUUUCUUAUUCUUUUAAACAUUUUUUAACAGCUCUAUUGAGAUAUUAUUCAUAUAACAUGGAAUUCAUCUGUUUAAAAUUAAUUUAAUGGUUUUUAGUAUAUUCACAGAUAUGUGUGAUCAUCACCACAGUCAAAUUUAUUUUUGUUACCUUAAAAAGAAACCCCAUCCCCUAUUGCCCAUCCUCAUCCACCAACCCUAAGCAACAACCAACCUGCUUUCUACUUUCUGUCUCUAUAGAUUCUCUAUUCUUAACAUUCAUAUUAAUGCAAUCCUAUACGUGGACUUUUGAAACUGGUCUUUUACUUAGACUAAUGAUGUCAAGAUAGCAUGUAUUAGUACUUCAUUCCUUUCCAUGGCCAAAUAAUAUUCCAUUGUAUGGAUAAGCCACAUUUGUUCAUUCAUUCAUCAGUUGGUAAACAUUUGGGUUGUUUCCACAUUUUGGCUAUUGUGAUUAAUGCUGCUAUGAGCAUUAGUAUACAUGUUUUUGUGUAUGCAUAUGUUUUUACUUCCCUUGAAUCUCUCUCUUUUCAAACUCAUAAAUUUUGUGGGAAAAAGAAUCUUUCAUUCUAUGUGAAACUUUUGUAUACAAGAACAACACAAAACAAAAACCUGUUUUCUUAGAUAAAUUUCUUUCCAGGAGACUACCAUCAACAGGCAGUUACUUAAACUUUAUUUGCUAAAAUUGCAAGAUAUUUGUUGUUACAUCUCCCCCAAAAUAUAGUUGGCUAAAAUUUCCAAUGAAGAGACGAAUUUCCCUUGGUAAAAUCUUUCUACCCUUUCUCUUCAUGGGAUUCAUCUCUUACUCUAAAGGAAUUCUGAAGGAAUCUCAAGACGGGAAACCAAAAAAAAGGAAAAUAUUUCCAAAACAAAAAAUGUUGAUAUUUAUGAUAUUUUUGACCUCUAUAAUAAAUUCCAUUUGCCUUUGAGAGGCUCAGUGUAAAAUGGAAAGAUGCUCAUGGAAUAGUUUUUGGUGACAUCUAUUGCCUAGUUCAAAUUGCACUUAGCUAAAUGUUUUAUUUCCCUCGACAAUUACAUCAUUUUAUGUGUGUAUGGUCCUCUACAUUAAAAUUUUUUGGUAAUAAAUCUGUUAGAUAUUCAGGUUUAAUUGAAGUAACUGUAAAUUCUUUGUUUAAAUUCAAGGGCAGAACUUGGCCCUUAGCAUGUAAUUAGUAUUUACUUUACAUACUGGAAGUUAUAAUUAGAAUCUUUGCUGGAGCAAGAUGAUCUGAAAUAUGACCAGUGACUCUGACCAUAGCACCAGAGGAGAUUUAAAACAAAGUGAGAGAAAACUCGAAGAAAACUUUAAAUAGAAAGCAAAAUUGUAUUCUAAUGGUGUGUGGUGGAGAAAAUAGUGGUGUGUGUUAAAUUUCCACUUGUUUUACUAUUAUAUUUAAUAUUUUUCAGGACUUAAUGUUGUAUUAUUUACUGGAAACAAGACACUGAAUGUAGUUUCUUCAAUGUUUUUGUACCAAUAAUAAUGGUAUCAAAGAUCAAUCAUGCCUCACAGAAUAGUAAGAAUUAUUAACCUUGAAAAACAGAGUAAACAGCUGUACUUUAAAGAGGAUUUUGUAAAUUUGGGGUCCUGAAUGAAUACU